AGAGUUUGAUCCUGGCUCAGAUUGAACGCUGGCGGCAUGCCUUACACAUGCAAGUCGAACGGCAGCACGGGAGCAAUCCUGGUGGCGAGUGGCGAACGGGUGAGUAACGUAUCGGAACGUACCUUUCAGUGGGGGAUAACGUAGCGAAAGUUACGCUAAUACCGCAUAUUCUGUGAGCAGGAAAGCAGGGGAUCGCAAGACCUUGCGCUGAUUGAGCGGCCGAUAUCAGAUUAGCUAGUUGGUGAGGUAAAGGCUCACCAAGGCGACGAUCUGUAGCGGGUCUGAGAGGAUGAUCCGCCACACUGGAACUGAGACACGGUCCAGACUCCUACGGGAGGCAGCAGUGGGGAAUUUUGGACAAUGGGGGCAACCCUGAUCCAGCCAUGCCGCGUGAGUGAAGAAGGCCUUCGGGUUGUAAAGCUCUUUCAGCCGGGAAGAAAUCACAUGGGUUAAUACCCUGUGUGGAUGACGGUACCGGAAUAAGAAGCACCGGCUAACUACGUGCCAGCAGCCGCGGUAAUACGUAGGGUGCGAGCGUUAAUCGGAGUUACUGGGCGUAAAGCGUGCGCAGGCGGUUUGUUAAGAUAGGCGUGAAAUCCCCGGGCUCACCUGGGAACUGCGUUUAUGACUGGCAGGCUAG
rnacentral:rRNA from 1 species